GACGAACGCUGGCGGCGUGCUUAACACAUGCAAGUCGAACGGAAAGGCCCUGCUUUUGUGGGGUGCUCGAGUGGCGAACGGGUGAGUAACACGUGAGUAACCUGCCCUUGACUUUGGGAUAACUUCAGGAAACUGGGGCUAAUACCGGAUAGGAGCUCCUGCUGCAUGGUGGGGGUUGGAAAGUUUCGGCGGGUGGGGAUGGACUCGCGGCUUAUCAGCUUGUUGGUGGGGUAGUGGCUUACCAAGGCUUUGACGGGUAGCCGGCCUGAGCGGGUGACCGGCCACAUUGGGACUGAGAUACGGCCCAGACUCCUACGGGAGGCAGCAGUGGGGAAUAUUGCACAAUGGGCGGAAGCCUGAUGCAGCAACGCCGCGUGCGGGAUGACGGCCUUCGGGUUGUAAACCGCUUUCGCCUGUGACGAAGCGUGAGUGACGGUAAUGGGUAAAGAAGCACCGGCUAACUACGUG
rnacentral:rRNA from 1 species